rnacentral:lncRNA from 1 species
CCACCUCUUCCUAUCUUCUCCCGCCCCUCUCCUUCCACACAUCAACUACCAGCAACAAAAUUAACGAAUUCCCACUUCACAGGUUUGGAUUUGUAAACGUUGAGGGUUCCGAUUUGUAAACAUAGGCUUCUAUUGGAAACUAGGGUUCCGAUUUGAAAAGGAUUUUGCUAUCAGCAAGUAUCAACCGAUUCAUCCUUCACAUCUCCAUCCCUCUGGUAUAUGUAAGCUUUUUUUGUUCAAUUUUUUUGGAUUUUAAGUUUUGAGUCUUUAUUCAUGAAGUGGUUUGGGAUGGGUUGAAACCAGUUUAGCUCAUAACGAUUUGGUCCAUCUCUUGUUGAUUUAGUGUUUCUCAGUUUGAGAGAGAUAUUAUCAACUGAAUUUAUAAUCAGGUUGAAUUCUAGCUAGAUUAAGUAUAGCUCUAUUUAGGAUAUUAUCGCUUGAAUUUAUAGUUAGGUUAAAUAUAACUGUUUGUGAUUAGUCAUUUGCUUGCAGUUUAUUACAUCAAAACUUUGAAAUGGAACUCACCUGAAUUAUUAAGCUCCUUUUGAAUUAAGUUGCAAAUUGUUAAGUCUGUUGUUAAGUUUUAUAUAUGUGUGUUAGUUAAAUCACUUAUCGAUUUAGUGUUUCUCUGGUUGAGAUAUCAUCAACUGAAUUUCUACCUUGGUUGAAUUUCUAGCUAGAUUAGGUGGAUUAGUGUAGCUCUAUUUAGGAUAUUAUCAAUGAAUGCAUUUCUGUUGUUAUGUCAAAUUCAUUCAUUUCCUUGCAGUUAACUAAAUCAAAUAUGUGAAAUCCAAAAGUAUAUUUGAUAUAAUCUCAAAUUUUACAUUUCUUUGUAGUGUAUUAAGCCUUUCAUAUGCAAACUUCCACUGACAUUCAAUUUUUCAUUUGCAUUCACCAGAUUCUGUAAUGACAUUUUUGAAUUUCAAUUACUACAUUUUAAAUGUCACUAUGAAGGUGAUACUGAUAUGGGUGCGGCUACUGUUUGCAUGUGACCCAUGAACUGGCUUUUGAAUUGGUCAAUUGGUUUCUUUCGUUCUCGUUCAUCUCUCAAUCUUUUUUUGACGUUUUUCAUAGAAAAAAACCUGCGUUUUUUGCUGAAAAACUGCAGUUUUUUGGCCAAACCGGGGUGAAAAGCGCAGAGGCGGAGGUUAUAAACAACGAGGUUGCUGCCGAUGACGGGAGACCUUCAUCUCCGCCAGAUGGUGAGGAGGAGUUCAUUGAUGAUGAUGGGACUGUGUACAAGUGGGACAAGACGCUUAGAGCCUGGGUUCCUCAGCCAAGAUGACUGAUGGUCGAGCAGCGACCCCGGCGGGACUUAUUUCAGCAUCAAUAGCACAUGCUUUUGCACUAUUUGUUGCAGUUUCGGUUGGUGCUAACAUAUCAUGGGGUCAUGUGAAC